GGGGCUGUAGCUCAGUUGGGAGAGCACCUGCUUUGCAAGCAGGGGGUCGUCGGUUCGAUCCCGUCCAGCUCCA
rfam:Betaproteobacteria bacterium GR16-43, complete genome.